rnacentral:rRNA from 1 species
AAUGAACGUUGGCGGCGUGGAUUAGGCAUGCAAGUCGAGCGGAAAGGCCCGCAAGGGCACUCGAGCGGCGUAAGGGACAGUAAUGUGUAGGUAACGUACCCCUGGGUCUAGGAUAGCUGCGGGAAACUGCAAUUAAUACUAGAUAACGUCUCCGGACCAAAGGUGUGAUUCCACCUGGGGAGCGGCCUACAUCCUAUUAGCUAGUUGGCGAGGUAAUGGCUCACCAAGGCGAAGAUGGGUAGCAGGUGUGAGAGCACGACCUGCGUCACUGGGACUGAGACACUGCCCAGACACCUACGGGUGGCUGCAGUCGAGAAUCUUCGGCAAUGGGCGAAAGUCUGACGGAGCGACGCCGCGUGCGGGAUGAAGGCCCUUGGGUUGUAAACCGCUGUCAGAGGGGAUGAAAUCUUCGGAGGUACUCCUCCGAAGUUGACAGAGCCUCAAAGGAAGCACGGGCUAAGUACGUG